UCCUGGUCAGCUCAGUUGGUAGAGUGCUCCACUGGAAAUGGAGAGGUCCCUUGUUCGUUACCAGGACCAGGCG
rfam:Ixodes scapularis strain Wikel colony gcontig_1108378631828, whole genome shotgun sequence.